GUGAAAAUUCAAAUCCAAACCAGAAUUUGAGGAGGCAGGGCUCAUUUGGAAACUCCUUUUGUUUAUAAUGUAGGUUUUUCUCCCUUUAUGAAGCAGAUGCUUAUACAAGCAUUACUAGUGUUGUCAAUAACACUGUAACAUUUGCCUUCAAUCCCUUUGUUGCUCAGGGAACAUGUUGGGUUUCGGCACAUUUAGCUUUGCCAUUUACUUCACAAAUUGCAGCUGGGUAGUGCUACAACUAAGUUGAUUUGACUGAGAAUAAAAACUGAAGAACAAAAAUUCUCCUAACGACCUUUCCAGUAAUCACAGGACUGAAAUGCUUUGGGGUGUGUGUGUGUGUGUGUGUGUGUGUGUGUCUGUCUGCGUGUUUUCCAAACAACUUGGUUUCAGUACAGUGAUGCUUCAGUAAGAAUCUUCCUGCAAAUCUAAUUCAAAAGGGAAGGCUUUGUUGUUAUUAAACACAAUGGCAGUUUGUACAGUCUCCACAUCAUUAUGUUGCUUCUCAUUAUGGUAAUUCAUUUGCUUCUGCUUUGUAUGGAUAUCAAAUAAAAAUCACUCUUGCUCCUGGCAAGUGAUUGCAUUAUGGAGACACUCUGGGAACCCAGCUAAACGGUGCUUGGUGUCAUAGCAAACACAAUUAGCAAAAUGGCAUCCAGAGUGGCUGUAUGGAGUUGGCCUGUGGUGAAUUUCAACCUGUGAGUGAUGUGAAUGAUUCCUUUGAAGGUCCUGGCUGUUUCUGCUCUCAGUCAUCCUUGGGGAAAAAGGUGAGUUUUGAAUUUGGAGAACGAAACUGCCAUUUUCACUAUCUGGACCAGAGGAUUUAGGAUAUAAUUACUAUGGGAUAAAGUGGCCUAGUGAGUCUGAUCAAUGGUAGUGGAAAGAAAAGUACAAGAUGAAUUGAUCAUGUUGUUAUAUGGAGUUAUUUGAGAGCGAGGUAGGGACUCUAAAGUUGGCUCUAGGGUUUGUGAACACUAAGGAGCCAACAGCAGAGAAAGAGUGACUUAUUUUUAGCACUGAGUUCUCUAAAUGGCAAACUUUCACUUUUGGCCAACACCACUUACUUAUCUUAACUAUGCUUUUACAAAAAUCGGGGAGCAAUCAGAGUCCAUGCUUGGAUCAAAUCUACACAGAGUAAGCAGCCCUCAGGAGUAAGUUCCAAGAGGAGACCACAAGGCAUGGAUGUCUGGAAUGCCAGGAUUAGGAAGCCAGAGUAGGUAAAAGGGCCACAUAAGUACCAGGAUUGAUUUGCAGAACAUGUAGUAGACUGGACCAGAGUCCCAGAAACUAGUUGGGUUGGAGAAAACCUACAGAAAGUUUUGACUUCCUUUCCUUGUGGGGAUUUGGGAGCC
rnacentral:lncRNA from 1 species